AUGCCGGGGCGCCGGCAAGCUGCCCGGGCCCCCGCUGUGCGGUUCUUCCUCGCAGACGUCCUUCCCCGCGUGGCGGCACGGAGCGGGGGCAUCAGCGCCGUGCGGAGCCGUCCCGCUGCGGGCUGGUGCCGAGCCAGGUCUGCACUGGGCACGGAGCGACAGAGCCCUGGCAGCCGCUCCUGGUGCUGGGAUGCCUCGCUAGCCGGCGCGAAGCAUUUCGGAGAGGGCAGCCUGCGCGGCUAUGAACGCACAACUUGCGCAGCGCCGGCUGUGGCAAUGUGCACAGCGCUCGCCCUGUGCUGGAUACAGGAAAAGGAGAGAUUAAUAGGAAAAGAAGCCUUAACUGUAAAGCUUCAAAGAGCAAACGCUGCGCAGGACUGGUGUAUCAGUGAGAAGAGCACUUCAGCUGUGAAACAGAGCAAAUUACGUUACGUGGUGCCACCGCAUCCAUCCCCUUCCCAGGGACCCCGGAGCAGGGCUGCGAGCGCGGCCGCGGCGAAGACGCAGGUUUACUCCAUUAAGCACCGCUACUUUAGGAGGGAUUUACUCCACUGAACACCAUUACUUUAAGAGGGAAAUGGGAAUUAAUCUUUGGCCAGGAGAACUACUUUCAUUCGGUAUAGGGCAUGAAUGACUAAGUGGGAACAAGGAAGUCAAUGUCUAAACGGAAGGCUAAAUGCCAGCUUCAUUCACAGAUUUUAAGACCAGCGAGGACCAUUACAAUCAUCCUGUCUGGCCUGCAGCAUACCACAAGCCUUAGCUCAUCACCUAGCAAACUGCAAGGGAAGUAGGAAGGAAGGAAACACGGCGGUCCCCACCUCGCGCCCGCGCACCAAUAAUCCCUCUCCUACGGCAAAAGACUGGUGCUGGCAAAAGGGAGCCUGCGGUGUGCGCUGCAUCCUUGCCUCGCACGCUCGAGCUCUCUUUUUACCCUAGGGAUGCAAAGAAAGCCCAGAAUCCAUUAGGACAACCGCCUGGGGAGUUAGUUAUGAUUUUUAAGAGCUAAUGAUACCGCCCACUGCUCAUUGUUUAUUAUAAACUAUUUUUAUUCCCUCUUAACAAAAUUGUGUAUACACAGGGAAAGAAGCUGUACCCGUGGACACAUGGAGCACUUGGCCAACUGCAGAGAGCUGUUGUACUCCAUGAAAUUAAUAGGACAGGCGGACAGAAAGUUAUUUAGCCUUGUGCAUUUGAAUGAGGAGGCAGAAAAAGGGGGAAAGUAGGAUCCCAUCUAUAGCUGCAGCGUUUUAAUGCAAGCCUGAAGACCACGCAGGCCACUGACAGCUGGCUCACAGAUCAGCCUACGCACAAAUGAUACAGAAGUGAUUAAACGGUAACAUGGAAUUACAUCGCUUUGCCUCAGUAUCACGCCAAAUAUAAUGCCUAAUUGCUUAGUUUAUAUACAUUUCUGCAAUUCAGGAGAAGAACAGGCGCUCUGGGAAAAAGGGGAGCAGCUGGCAGCCUGCUCUGUUACAUGGGAGGGACCACUCUCCUAUCCUCCUGGUCCCUGCUUUUUUGUUUGUUUGUUUUUAAUCUACAUUACCAUUUAGCAUUA
ensembl:lncRNA